rnacentral:rRNA from 1 species
GGGACACGUGGUAUCCUGUCUGAAUAUGGGGGGACCAUCCUCCAAGGCUAAAUACUCCUGACUGACCGAUAGUGAACCAGUACCGUGAGGGAAAGGCGAAAAGAACCCCGGCGAGGGGAGUGAAAAAGAACCUGAAACCGUGUACGUACAAGCAGUGGGAGCACCUUCGGGUGUGACUGCGUACCUUUUGUAUAAUGGGUCAGCGACUUAUAUUCUGUAGCAAGGUUAACCGUAUAGGGGAGCCGCAGGGAAACCGAGUCUUAACUGGGCGUUAAGUUGCAGGGUAUAGACCCGAAACCCGGUGAUCUAGCCAUGGGCAGGUUGAAGGUUGGGUAACACUAACUGGAGGACCGAACCGACUAAUGUUGAAAAAUUAGCGGAUGACUUGUGGCUGGGGGUGAAAGGCCAAUCAAACCGGGAGAUAGCUGGUUCUCCCCGAAAGCUAUUUAGGUAGCGCCUCGUGAACUCAUCUUCGGGGGUAGAGCACUGU